CUCUCUGAGUUUUAAAAAUUUCCACAGUCUUGUCCAUUUAUUGUUAAUUGUUUGAAAUAGAAGAUACUACAUGCAACAAACUACAGGACUUCCAAGAACCACUCCCCAUAGCUUCUGAAUUCUUCACCUGGGGCUGCCUUCUCAUCCUGAGAGCUGACUGUAGAGGAUUGCUCAAGUAGACAUUCUAUUUGUUUCAUCAAAUAAAAGACCACAGCU
rnacentral:lncRNA from 1 species